UCGGAGGUCAUAGUUGCUCGUGUCGAAAUUGAUUUGCGUCGUCUUGUUUGGUGAGUCUGACUUUUUCUCGCGCAUUUUUCGCGUUGCUUUUCCGGUUGCAAGGAAAUUCGCGUACGAACAAAAGUCGGGAGUGUCGCGAAUCAUUCAGAAUAUCGGUGGACAUCGAGGAAUAUCAAGGUCGCAUUCCAUUUCACGGCCGCGAGCCAUUGUUUUUGUUACGUCUCUGUACUUCAGACGGACAAAGAUGAAAUGAGAAUGCGUCCUUGAUAUUUCUUCAUGCUCCCGAAUAUUCUGCUUCCCGAAGGAAGCAUCGAUGGCUUAAUCGAGGAACGAUUUCGCUCGUUUUUCGGGUUAUCGUGCAUUGUGCUCCAAAAUUUUGUCGUGGAUCGUCGAGUCGGAAAUAAUUAGCAAAGCGGGAGAAGUGCGUGUAAUAAUCGAAAUACGCGAUCGGAAAAUUUUUGUUUCGUGAAGUGCCGAGUUCGCUCAACCUUCAAUCGGCGACUUCUCAGUGCGUCGCGAGGGGGAAGUCGCACCGUCGAAAAAAAAAUAACGCGAGUGUUACAAGGAUUAUACAAGGAUUAGUUCCCGAUGCAGAGGAAUACACGUCGAGGCCGGAAAAAAGGAAUAGCGAGUUGAAAUUUACCUGUAUUCCACCUCGGAUGGAUUGGCCUCGGCGCAACAUUUGAACCUAAGCUCGGAGCCUUCAACUAUACGAUCGAUCUUCGAGAGGGACACCUUCGGUGCGUAACGUACCUGAAAACAAACAGAACCGAUAGCCGCGCGCGAGUUUGAUUGCGAGAGAUUCUCGGGUGCGGCUCCGUGCGAUUGUAGUUUUCGCAUUAUUUUUUCUCAUUGAAUCGUGUCGGGAGUGCCGUGUAAAGUUCGGGCGAUCGUAAUUAUUCGUAUUUUUCGCGAGUGUCGGGAGUGUUACAAGGGAGCAAUGACGGUCAACCAAGAGGGGUGGAGGGAGGAGACACGUGGAGGCAUCGGGCGACAGCGGGGCAACUGUGAGAUCAAUGAAUGCUGUGUACUACAACUCCGCUAUUGCACGUAUCGGUAGCAUCGCUGAUGAGCCGCGUUGAGAGAUUCUCGAAUGCUGAACGGACGUUGCUUCGUGCGACUAUAGUUUUCGCAUUAUUUUUUCUCAUUGUGUCGUGUUGGGAGUGCCGUGUAAAAGUUUUCGCGCGUCGGGAGUGCCGUGUAAAGUGUCGGGCGAUUGUAAUUAUUCGUGACCAAGAGAGGAGGAGGAGACAUCGGGCGACAGCGGGGCAACUCUAAGAUCAAUGUGCUGUGUUCUACAACUCCGCUAUUCCACGUGUCGGAAUCUGAGCACAACCGACAAACGGCGAUCGUCGAUUGUACCAUGGAGAAGCUGGCGCAAGUCGGUCCAGGUGCAUUCUCCGCUGCGGGAAACCGCAAACACCGAUGCAGCAGUUUUACCACGAAAGAAAGAACGAGAAAGAGGGAGGGAGUGUAAGGGCGACACGAAGAGAAAGAACCAGGGAAGGGAGGACGUGUAGAAAAAGAAGAGAGAUGGAGGACGAAGAAGGGGUUCUGUUGGAUUGUGUUUAUCUUCGAACCGCCUCGGUGCUGUAUAUACCUUCGCGCUGAUUUCGCUGCGCUAACAGGUUCCACGGUCAGUCGGAGACGGCAAAUUAGCCGCUGGUCGAAGCGGGGUUGAGAAGAGAGAGAGCAGGCAGAUGCAGGAUUCUUGGCAGGGUCAAACCUCCCGGCCAUCUUCUGAUGCCGCUUAUACCUCGCCCUGUUCCGGGGCCCUUCUCCGCUUCUGUUGCCGGCUGAUCUCCUCCGCUUCUCUUCUACCUGCUGGCAAAAAAUCUGCGUACAUGUGUGUGCACACAAAGAGAGACCCCAGUGGAAUAAGAGGGCGAGGUAGAUUGAGGAGCUCCGGAGAAGGUGGGGUUUGUUGUACGCGCACAGGUCGGCAGGAAUCCGGGAGAUAAUCGAACGCGUUUCUUGGUGGAAUUCCUCCUACCAUCGACUGUGUGCGUCCCUGGAAAAACGAGACAGCCGCCGGUCAUCCUGGUUGCGGCGUUGGCCGCCGGGUCGACCGGACCCCGACGUCGACGAUGUAGCCUGUGCGUGCACUUGCCGCGAGGGAAAGGUGGAUGGCCGCGACCUUGAUGCGCGUGGUUCUCGCGUGCCCGAACCCUCACGAGGCACCCCGAGGACGGCCGAAGCUGAGGAUCCAGCGUCUGUGUCCGGGAGCGUAUAUGUCGCACCAAGAUGUGGAGAAUUUAUUUUUUUCGACGUUGGCAGCUCUGAACUCAAAAGUAUGUAAACAAGAUCAAGGAGGUCCUCGAAUAUCCUAGGACAUCUUUGACUUUUC